rnacentral:rRNA from 1 species
UACAGAGGUCCCAAGCGUUGUUCGGAUUCACUGGGCGUAAAGGGUGCGUAGGUGGGUUGAUAAGUCAGUGGUGAAAUCCCCGAGCUUAACUUGGGAACUGCCAUUGAUACUAUUGAUCUUGAAUACCGUGGAGGUCAGCGGAAUAUGUCAUGUAGCGGUGAAAUGCUUAGAUAUGACAUAGAACACCAAUUGCGAAGGCAGCUGGCUACGCGAAUAUUGACACUGAUGCACGAAAGCGUGGGGAUCAACAGG